AUCACUAUACUGCAGUGGACUAUGUUGAGCAGGGGUCUGCACUAAGUUUGGUAUCAAUAUGGUGCUCCUGGGGGAGAUUGGGACCACCAGGUCAUAAGGAGGGGCGAUCUGACCCAGGUUGGAGAAGGAGCAGGUCAAACCCCCUGUGCUGAUCAGUAGUGGGAUCAUGGCUGUGAAUAGACACUGCAGUGCAG
rnacentral:SRP_RNA from 1 species